AUUCCAGCUCCAAUAGCGUAUAUUAAAGUUGUUGCAGUUAAAAAGCUCGUAGUUGGAUUUGUGGUGUACUUCGGCGGCCCGUCACUAUGUGAUGGAGCUUGCUGAAGUCGCCAUCCUUGGGUGGAUCCUGUGUGGCAUUAAGUUGUCGUGCAGGGGAUGCCCAUCGUUUACUGUGAAAAAAUUAGAGUGUUCAAAGCAGGCUUAUGCCGUUGAAUAUAUUAGCAUGGAAUAAUAAGAUAGGACCUUGGUACUAUUUUGUUGGUUUGCGCACCAAGGUAAUGAUUAAUAGGGACAGUUGGGGGUAUUCGUAUUUCAUUGUCAGAGGUGAAAUUCUUGGAUUUUUGAAAGACGAACUACUGCGAUAGCAUUUACCAAGGAUGUUUUCAUUA
rnacentral:rRNA from 1 species